rnacentral:rRNA from 1 species
AGUGAACGCUGGCGGUAGGCCUAACACAUGCAAGUCGAACGGCAGCACAGUAAGAGCUUGCUCUUACGGGUGGCGAGUGUCGGACGGGUGAGGAAUACAUCGGAAUCUACUUUUUCGUGGGGGAUAACGUAGGGAAACUUACGCUAAUACCGCAUACGACCUACGGGUGAAAGCAGGGGAUCUUCGGACCUUGCGCGAUUGAAUGAGCCGAUGUCGGAUUAGCUAGUUGGCGGGGUAAAGGCCCACCAAGGCGACGAUCCGUAGCUGGUCUGAGAGGAUGAUCAGCCACACUGGAACUGAGACACGGUCCAGACUCCUACGGGAGGCAGCAGUGGGGAAUAUUGGACAAUGGGCGCAAGCCUGGUCCAGCCAUACCGCGUGGGUGAAGAAGGACUUCGGGUUGUAAAGCCCUUUUGUUGGGAAAGAAAAGCAGCAGGUUAAUACCCCGCUGUUCUGACGGUACCCAAAGAAUAAGCACCGGCUAACUUCGUG